AGUCGAGCGGAGAUGAGGUGCUUGCACCUUAUCUUAGCGGCGGACGGGUGAGUAAUGCUUAGGAAUCUGCCUAUUAGUGGGGGACAACAUUCCGAAAGGGAUGCUAAUACCGCAUACGUCCUACGGGAGAAAGCAGGGGAUCUUCGGACCUUGCGCUAAUAGAUGAGCCUAAGUCGGAUUAGCUAGUUGGUGGGGUAAAGGCCUACCAAGGCGACGAUCUGUAGCGGGUCUGAGAGGAUGAUCCGCCACACUGGGACUGAGACACGGCCCAGACUCCUACGGGAGGCAGCAGUGGGGAAUAUUGGACAAUGGGGGAACCCUGAUCCAGCCAUGCCGCGUGUGUGAAGAAGGCCUUAUGGUUGUAAAGCACUUUAAGCGAGGAGGAGGCUACUGAGACUAAUACUCUUGGAUAGUGGACGUUACUCGCAGAAUAAGCACCGGCUAACUCUGUGCCAGCAGCCGCGGUAAUACAGAGGGUGCGAGCGUUAAUCGGAUUUACUGGGCGUAAAGCGUGCGUAGGCGGCUUUUUAAGUCGGAUGUGAAAUCCCCGAGCUUAACUUGGGAAUUGCAUUCGAUACUGGGAAGCUAGAGUAUGGGAGAGGAUGGUAGAAUUCCAGGUGUAGCGGUGAAAUGCGUAGAGAUCUGGAGGAAUACCGAUGGCGAAGGCAGCCAUCUGGCCUAAUACUGACGCUGAGGUACGAAAGCAUGGGGAGCAAACAGGAUUAGAUACCCUGGUAGUCCAUGCCGUAAACGAUGUCUACUAGCCGUUGGGGCCUUUGAGGCUUUAGUGGCGCAGCUAACGCGAUAAGUAGACCGCCUGGGGAGUACGGUCGCAAGACUAAAACUCAAAUGAAUUGACGGGGGCCCGCACAAGCGGUGGAGCAUGUGGU
rnacentral:rRNA from 1 species